UAAGGUCUAACCUGCCCAAUGAGGAUUUAAAUGGCCGCAGUAUUUUGACUGUGCAAAGGUAGCAUAAUUAUUAGCUUUUUAAUUGAGAGCUUGUAUGAAGGGUUGGACGAAAUAAAAUCUGUCUUUAUUUAAAUAAUAAUAGAAUUUAACUUUUAAGUUAAAAGGCUUAAAUGCCUAUAAAAGACGAGAAGACCCUAUAGAUCUUUAUUUAGUUAAUGUUUUGAUAAUUUAGGAUUAUUUUGGUUUAAAGUAUUAAUUAAAUUUUAUUGGGGUAAUAUAGAGAUUUAAUAAAUUCUUUUUAUUAAUUACAUUAAUUUAUGAAUAUGUGAUCCAGUAUUACUGAUUAUAAGAUUAAGUUACCUUAGGGAUAACAGCGUAAUUUUUUUGGAGAGCUCAUAUCGAUAAAAAAGUUUGCGACCUCGAUGUUGGAUUAAAAAUUAGCUUGGGUGCAGAAGCUCGAGAUUUUGGUCUGUUCGACCAUUAAAUUUUUACAUGAUCUGAGUUCAGACCGGCGUAAGCCAGGUCGGUUUCUAUCUUUAUUUAAUUAAAAUAUUUUAGUACGAAAGGACCAAGUAUUUGAUAUAUAGAUAUUUAUUUUUUGAACAAUAUUAUUACUUUGGCAGAAUAGUGCGAUGAAUUUAGAAUUCAUGAAUGUAAUUUUAUUACAAGUAAUACUUGUAUUUAGGAGAUUUAUUAUUGAUGGUGUUAUGUAUACUUAUUCUUGUAAUUUGUGUGCUGGUUGGGGUAGCAUUUUUGACGUUGUUGGAGCGUAAAGUUUUAGGCUACAUUCAGAUUCGAAAGGGCCAAACNAAGGUUGGNUUUAUUA
rnacentral:rRNA from 1 species